GCCGGGGUGGGGAAGGGUGUGGUGUGAGGGGAGAGAGGAACAACAGUCAAGGCCCCGCUUGGCUCCCUCCCUGUGCGCUUAGGAUGCGAGCCUAAGAGGGAGGUGUGAAGGCGCCCGGUCCUGAGCGCCUCCUGAAGGGUCCUCGUCUGGGGUCGGGACUCCGGUUCUGCUCCUUGCUACCUCUUACACUCUUCGCCCCUCACUUUCCUAAAAGCACCCAGGCUCCUCUCUUGGCAGCGACGGCGGUGACAGCAGCGGCGGCAAAAGUGGAGGCUGAGGCCGUGACACCUCGUGGGCUCGAGUCCAUGCCCAGCUGGAUGAACGGAAAGGCCGGGAGUGGGGAGUCAGGGGGUGCCCCCAGAGCUCAGAGGCGACCGACGGCGGCGGUUCCAGGGCCGAACAAGAAGGGACCCUCUUGCCCGCGUCCCGCCCGCGCGCCCGCCGGGACCACCGCCGCCGCCGCCCGGCUCCGAGGGACCCGCCGGACCUGCCCCUUCCGCUGCGGCUCACUCUGCCUUGCCGGGCGCCGCUUCUGGAUCGCCGGCUUCUCAUUCCUACCAGGCUGGGCUCCUCUCCACUCACUUUCCCAUCCUGUUCCAGGCUGGCGACUUCGCUGCUGAGCUGA
rnacentral:sRNA from 1 species